GUCAAGGUGGCCGAGUGGUUAAGGCGUUUGACUCGAAAUCAAAUGGGCUAUGCCCGCGCAGGUUCGAAUCCUGUCCUUGACG